rnacentral:misc_RNA from 1 species
GAUGAAGAACGCAGCGAAAUGCGAUAAGUAAUGUGAAUUGCAGAAUUCAGUGAAUCAUCGAAUCUUUGAACGCACAUUGCGCCCCCUGGUAUUCCGGGGGGCAUGCCUGUUCGAGCGUCAUUUCACCACUCAAGCCUCGCUUGGUAUUGGGCAACGCGGUCCGCCGCGUGCCUCAAAUCGACCGGCUGGGUCUUCUGUCCCCUAAGCGUUGUGGAACUAUUCGCUAAAGGGUGUUCGGGAGGCUACGCCGUAAAACAACCCCAUUUCUAAGGUUGACCUCGGAUCAGGUAGGGAUACCCGCUGAACUUAAGCAUAUCAAUAAGCGGAGGA